ACAACGUGGUACCAUGAGCGCCAAGGAUAUUUAAGUCAGAACAGAUCUAGUCUUUCCCAUUCACUUUGCCAUUUUGCUUUCAUUUUUCUUUACUGAAAAUAGGCAGGCUUGGAAGCCUGAAUGACCUGAGUUCAAUUUCAGCACACGUGUUUACUAGCUGUGAAUUCACUUCGCCGGAUCACCCAGGUCCAGCAUUUGUCAAGUGAGACUGGUAAUACUGUUGCUACCCUAGAGAAUUAUAAUGCACCUCAAAUGAGAUAAUGUGUAGCAAGCACUUACUACAGUCUGGUGCAUGGUGAAUAAAUGCUGGCCAGGAUGGCAAUCUGUAUUGUUGCUAAUGACAGUGACAUUGGGCUGUCCCUGUCUCUUAUUGAUGAGGGAAACUCAUCAGCCAAAUGGAAAAGGAAAAGACGGGUGGCCCCUGCAAUAGUUUCCAUAUUGUCUUUCAAAUAGCUGGAGAACAAGAGAGCUGACAAGCAACCUGACCGUGGCUCCUCGCUUUCUCUGAGAUGACAGCUCGUUGGUGCAUUUCUCCACUCUUCAGCAUUUGGCAGUUAUCUUACUGAGUGUCUACAAUGGACUUCUGGUUUUGGCAACAUGGUGGACCAAGAUAAUAUGGAAGAACUCUGGAUACAAACGCCUGUAAAAGCUGGAUAACUGAAUCAAUUAAAAAGUCAUGGAUGAAAGAGAGGGGAAAUCCCAGUGCUAGAAACACAGUGUCCUCUGGAAGCUGGAAGGCGAUGGAGACAUCUGUCACUGAAGCCGGAGCUUCCAGGCGGAGUCUCACCUGAAUUAGGUCUCAGCAGUCCGUUGUAACACUCACUUAAGAAGAUGAGACCUGGAUCUCGGACGCCCCCGGAAUAAAACUGAAACCCUCCAAAGGCACCAACACCCUCUGUGAAUGGUGGACUCAGAGGCCAAGAAAGGUUUUUUGUUUUUUUUUUCACAUCCAGGGUUCUGAGUCGGGGGAGAAACGCUAUCCUGUGAGAAGUAAAACUUUAAGCCCAAGCCAGAUGCUGUUUAUAAUAUUGAUUUACCUCAGUUGUGUGCUGAGUGAUUCUCAAUCUGAGGGUUUACCUAAAAUUGGCUCCACAAACCAGGCAACAGAGAACCCCCUCAGAAGAAACAGUCCCGGGUGAGGAUUAGCUCAUUACAAGCCAAGGACACGCAAGGACUCAUGGCGCGCGUGGGCCGGCUGCAGGGUCAGCAAGAAGGGUGCGUCGCGAGCCAGCCUCUGUUCCAGGAGCCGCGCGGGGCGCACAGGAGGCUCUGGAACCUGGAGGGUAGACCUGGCGCAGUGGCCCCUCACGGUUCACCGUGUAGCCGUUGAUGAAUGUUCUUUUUGACCCAUGAGGAUGAUGGCCGUACGUAACUCUUCCAAGACACAAACUGUAAGAAGUGUGAAGUCCCCCCAGGAAGGUUUGCCAGUGCAGAGGACAUCGGUGGCUUUAGCCCGCCCAGCAUCCUUUCUCCCUGACUCCUGGGAACAGCCCGGGCUCUGGGUAGACUGCCAACCACAUCCCCUACCCCUAGGCACAGUUUUGGACACAUGAUGCCUGCUUGGUCAAAACUAGUACCCUACCCCUGGCCGUGGUGAAUGACCCAGACAUGGGCAUGUGACCCCGGCCAGGGCACCAGAGCGUCCUUUCCUGAGGUUUUGUGCAUGGAUGCCGAGAAGAGUAAAGCUUGCCCCGUCAGAGGUUUGGGCAUGUGACUUCUGACGUCCCACAUCACUCCUCUAGAACCAAAACAAGAAACUCCGUUUCAUCCAACCCCUAAUGCAGAUGUGGAAGUUGAUCGGCAGAAUGUGGUUUCCCAAGGAGGCCGUCCUUACGAGCACGUGCUACCGAAGAGGCAUCAGACAUGCAUCUGGGACACAGGCUGGGUGGGGAAGACCCGCCAAAUACAUGUUCUUCCCUGAACGCCCCCCUGUCUGAAUUGGCGGUGUUUUUUCUAGAGAGGAGGCACCCACGUAUUCUGGAAUUGUGCUUUCUCCCCCUCAAGCAAAUCAUUCGUAUCAAGACUUGUUGAAAUGUGACUCCAUUGCAGACAGAGAAUUAGAAACUGAGCACUGACACCAGAUGUUACUCCUCUUUAAAAAAAGUACUAUCGGGGGGGAGGGUAUGGCUCAGUGGUAGACUGCACGCCUAGUAUGCACAGGGUCCUAGGUUCACUCCCCAGUACCUCCAUUAAAAAUAAAUUAGUAAAUAAACCUAAUUACCUUCCCUAAACCUUUUUUUUAUUUAAAAAAAAUGUAUCAAAAUCCA